UACGGGGGGAGCAAGCGUUGUUCGGAUUUACUGGGCGUAAAGGGCGCGUAGGCGGCCACCGCAAGUCGAUUGUGAAAUCUCCGGGCUUAACCCGGAAAGGUCAACCGAUACUGCGGGGCUAGAGUGCAGAAGGGGCAACUGGAAUUCUCGGUGUAGCGGUGAAAUGCGUAGAUAUCGAGAGGAACACCUGCGGCGAAGGCGGGUUGCUGGGCUGACACGUGACGCUGAGGAGCGAAAGCGUGGGGAGCGAACAGG
rnacentral:rRNA from 1 species